rnacentral:lncRNA from 1 species
CUAACGGCUAUCAGACACUCUUCCUCUCUAUCUUUUCUUCUUGUACAAUAAGUUUGCGUAAUAUGUUCAAAACCCACUCACUUUGUAAGUGAAUGCCUAGCCACACAUCAAUUUUCUGAGUUUAUGUAUGAGCAAGCUCAUCAAGAUCAAACCCAAAUGGCCUACAGAACAUAUAAAAACCCAUACUUUAAUGCUUAUAAUUC